UCAACUCCCGAGGCGGGGCCAACAUUUGGGAAGAAGCAGAGGACCCCAGGUGGCAUCCUGUCAUCCAGUAGGAGAGUGGCCGGCCCGAGCAGUGCAACCUCCAUUCUACCCUGCGGAGAAAAAAGAUGUGGUUCUUGCUGCCCACUUUGUAGCAUCUCCACACACAUGCCCAGUUCUUGGAGUCUGUCACAAGCAGCCCAACUCAACUGGAGUCCUGAGCAGGUGACCAGAUCAGGAUGCUGGCCUGGGAAACUCCCCAGAAAUCCCCAGGUAUCAGAACAAGGUCAAGGCGUCGUGGCGAGCAGUUUAUUAUUGAAUAAGCCACAUCAUGUAUCCUGCAGAUUAUCCACAGUCUGGAUUUUGAUGAUUACAAACCCAGGAUACAGGAGGGUGGACUCGGCACAAUCUUCAACAGCAUCCAGUUCAGCUUUGUCACGUGCAGAUGACACAGCUCAGGACUAGGAGGUGUGGGGACUCGUGCAGGCUUGCACAUAUAACCCAAGCCAUGGGCAUACCCUUGAAGCAAACUCCUGAACAUUCCUUGUGAGCAGUUCCAAUGUCUUUGCUGGUCUGACGUCCUGGGCUGCAGCCUGUG